rnacentral:sRNA from 1 species
UCUGGGCAUGGUGGUGCAUGCCUAUAAUCCCAGCUAUUCAGGAGACUGAGACAGGAGGAUUGCAAGUUCCAGGCCAGACUGGGCAACUUUGCAAGACCCUGCCUCAA